GAAAUGCGAUAAGUAAUGUGAAUUGUAGAAUUCCGUGAAUCAUCGAAUCUUUGAACGCACAUUGCGCCCUCUGGCAUUCCGGGGGGCAUGCCUGUCCGAGCGUCAUUACGCACCCUCAAGCCCGGCUUGUGUGAUGGGCCCCGGCGUCUCGUUCGCGAGACGGGCCCGAAAGGCAGCGGCGGCGUCGACCCGAUGAGCCCGAGCGUAUGGGGACUUCUGUCACACGUUCGCGGUGCGGACCGGCGCCUGCUUUGACUUUUCUGAUUAUCCAGGUUGACCUCGGAUCAGGUAGGGAUACCCGCUGAACUUAAGC
rnacentral:misc_RNA from 1 species